CAGUGCUGGACUCCGUCACUCUUUAGCUCCUGGACUUGGCCCUUCACCCGGCCUCAGUUUCCCCUCCUGGAGCGGAGGGGCACACAGAUGGGGCCGUCACUGAGACCCUCCCGUCCAUUCCGGGACCCCUGGACGGGAACAGGGUGGAAGGGGUUUGCCCCGUGGGCCGUGAUCAUCCUGCCUCAGCCUCCUGCAGAGUGGGCGAGAGGUCCAAGUUCUGGGGGACAGGUGAGGACACACUUCCCUCUCAGGCGCCUCCAGGCACUGGUCCUCAGACCCGGGCUUCCAUCAACCGCUGAAUNNNNNNNNNNNNNNNNNNNNCGAAGGUGGCGCUGGCUUCUGCCCUCAGGACUUCCGGAGCAGCUCCCUUUCUUUCCACCUAUGCGGGUAGGGUUGGAGGCCCAGGGUCUCGGAGCCCGAAGUAGCGUCCAGUUGAGCUUGGACGCGGACUGGCCCCAGCUGAGCUCGGUCGCUGGCGGGCCGAGGGCGGCGCAUCCCCAGCAGGGGGCAGGCGAGAGGCAACGGGCUGGCUUCAGAGGAAAGUCGCGUCCAUCCAGGGGCCAUUUCAUCCUAUGGCUUCAGGAUAACGAGACUUCUGUCUUCCGGAAAGCUGUGAGUAACACCGGGUGGGGCUGGGGCUCCAGCCUCAGUUUCAUCACCAGUAGCUCUCUGCCCUCUGAGGAAAUCUCAUGAAUGUUCAGUGAAUAAUAGAAACAGACACCUUUGCUGCCAGCAAACCAGGGUGAACAGGGCUGGCUGAUGAGCUGCUGAGCACCCUCUCUCCAGAUUCCCUGUGGACCUACUGUGUGCUAGGCUCUCAGAGAGAAGUGAACAAGACAAAAAUACACCCCACCCUCCCACAAUGCAUGCUCUGAGGAAGGUGGGCAUCAACUAGCAACAAACUCAUAAUGUCAGGUCAGGUAAAACUUUUUGAAAAUUAAACUAGGGGUUGAACCCAGGGCCUUUGCACCAAGCUACAACCCUGGUCCCCUUUUUAAACUUUUUAACAUUUUGAGACAGGGUCUUAUUGAUUUGCCCAGUCUGGGCUUGAACCUGAGGCUCCUGCCUCAGCCUCCCCAGUAAUGGGAUUACAACUGUGUGCCACCAUGCCCCUUAGGUUACUGGUUCAAACAGAAAAAUUAAGGCAAGGAGAUGAGUAAGGAGAGAAGCUGGGGGUGGUAGCGUAUACCUAUAAUCCCAGCACUCUGGGAAGCUGAGUCAGAGAAUCGAAACUCUAAGCCUACCCUGGGCAACUCAGUGACUUAGCAAGACGUUGUCUAAAAAAAUAAAAGGAAAAAGGGCUGGGAGGGGAGUGUAGCUCAGUGCCGAGACCUGGGUUGGAUCCCCAGUCCGGGAGGAAAAUAAGGAGUAGGGAGUGCAGAACCAAAGGAGGCUUCGGAACUUGCGACCGGUCCUGGCAAUCGGUGGUGGCCCGGUCUGCACCUGGGGACCGGCCGAGGCCUCCCUGUUCGGCUCUCCACGCGCGUCCCGCCC
rnacentral:lncRNA from 1 species